rnacentral:rRNA from 1 species
UACGUAGGGUGCGAGCGUUAAUCGGAAUUACUGGGCGUAAAGCGUGCGCAGGCGGUUCGUUGUGUCGGCGGUGAAAGCCCCGGGCUCAACCUGGGAAUGGCCGUUGAAACUGGCGAACUGGAGUGUGGCAGAGGGGGGUGGAAUUCCGCGUGUAGCAGUGAAAUGCGUAGAGAUGCGGAGGAACACCGAUGGCGAAGGCAGCCCCCUGGGCUGACACUGACGCUCAUGCACGAAAGCGUGGGGAGCAAACAGG